UCGGCCCUGAUCAAGACCAGCAGCUUGCAGUAGCUGUUGGUUUCAAAUGGUGCCUACAUAAAACUCCUUCCUGUGGUCUGUUGAUUUUUCCCAGAGUAACAAAGGGGCUAAUCUUUUCAGUUGGAAGGAACAAAA
ensembl:snoRNA